rnacentral:tRNA from 1 species
UAGAGAGGCCUUAGUUUAAUUAAAGCGUCUGAUUUGCAAUCAGGAGAUGUAGAGAAGUUCUAUAGGUUUUA